rnacentral:lncRNA from 1 species
CUAUUAGGUUCAAAAUAACACUACACACUUAGUGUGAUUUUAUUUACAAAAGUGUUAUUCUGAUUUAACUGUGGCAGCGAUGCAUUUAAGUUUUGAUGGGGUUAAAUAAAGUUAUAAACAGUAAUGUAGUUUGGAUGCAAGUGCAACCAUUCUCCAUGUAAAUGAGAAAGCGCUUCAAAUGCGAUUAGAUAACAUAUGUAUGUAUUACAAAUGAGUUGUUAUGUUGUUUUGAAAUGUUUUUUUUUUUUUUGCAAUUUUGGUAUUUCAAACAUUCCAAGUUUCCUCUAUAAGUCAAUUACAGAGUAGUCAUUUUCUAGUUUCUUGACCUUGGGUCAAAACUUAUGGUUUCAUUUCUGUAAUUAAUUUAAUAAAAUUGUAUACUUUAUUUAUUUUAAAGAGUUUUUCUUUACAAUUUUGACAUACUUUUAUGAAACUAUAAAAAUAUGCUAUGGUUAAAAUGAAUGCAUUAUAUAAUUUAUUUCUA